AGCCGGCCGCGCUGUCUGUGCCCAGGCUGCGCUUGUCGGCCAGCUUCCCAGGCCUGCUUUAGGAUGGAAGGGGCAGUAGAAGACCCGAGGCUUGAGCCCAGACAGCAAGGGCCCUACGGUGCCACCCCCUUCCGCCCGAGCUCACCAGAAACAAGACCAGGCUUGGAAAAGAGACUUUUUUUACUUUAUUUUUGACUUAAAUUUCCAUAACGUCUGCAGACCGAAGCAGCUGACCGCCCCUUCCCCUUAAAAAAAGGCUUCAAUUUAAUCUCCAAAAAAAAAGUCAAUUAAAUUCAAAAAUCGUUUAUUAAACACCUAUGCUGAGCAAGGCACUGUUUUAGAUGCUAGGGAUAUAAAGACAGAAGUGCAAAAUUUGGGCCCCUUCUUCAAAGACCUUACAACAGUCAACUGGGGGAUACAAACAAUCUGUCACAGAAUCCGCUUGCUAUUCGGCGAUUCCAAGGCAUUUGUGAAAGGUCCAUUGACUUCAAGCAGCAGCAGAAGACCGUCAAGAAUGUAAAGCGUCCAAGGUUUUGCCCUUCCAACUUCUGCAGAUCGGUUGUCCCUCAUGCCCAGAACAUACCCUCCCUAUUCCCACCUGUUGGAAUCCCUAGCCUUGUAUUACUU